rnacentral:rRNA from 1 species
UACGUAGGGGGCAAGCGUUGUCCGGAAUCAUUGGGCGUAAAGCGCGUGUAGGCGGCUGACUAAGUCCGCUCUGAAAGCCCGGGGCUCAACCCCGGGAGGCGGGUGGAUACUGGUCAGCUCGAGUCCGGAAGAGGAGUGUGGAAUUCCUGGCGUAGCGGUGAAAUGCGCAGAUAUCAGGAGGAACACCGGUGGCGAAGGCGGAUCUCUGGGCCAUUACUGACGCUGAGGAGCGAAAGCGUGGGGAGCGAACAGG